GCGGACGUGGCGGAACUGGUAGACGCGCAGCCUUGAGGAGGCUGUGGGAGCAAUCCUGUGGAGGUUCAAGUCCUCUCGUCCGCACCA
rnacentral:tRNA from 3 species